rnacentral:lncRNA from 1 species
GACAUUUGGACUUAUCUUUUAAUUCUCUCAUCUUAACACAGCUGAGAUUUCUCCUUUUUUUCUAUUCUUGUUUUAGAAAAUGAAAAGCUUUCUUAAGACAAUAGGACAGGCCGGGCGCGGUGGCUCAUGCCUGUAAUCCUGACACUCUGGGAGGCCGAGGUUGGCGGAUCACAAGGAAGCAGAAUCUGAAACUUUCUGAGGAGAGCAUUUGAGCUUCAGAUUUCUAACAGGUAAUGAGAAAAU